UACGGGGGGGGCAAGCGUUGUUCGGAAUUACUGGGCGUAAAGGGCUCGUAGGCGGCCAACUAAGUCAGACGUGAAAUCCCUCGGCUUAACCGGGGAACUGCAUCUGAUACUGGAUGGCUUGAGUUUGGGAGAGGGAUGCGGAAUUCCAGGUGUAGCGGUGAAAUGCGUAGAUAUCUGGAGGAACACCGAUGGCGAAGGCAGGUCUCUGGGCCAUAACUGACGCUGAGAAGCGAAAGCAUGGGGAGCGAACAGG
rnacentral:rRNA from 1 species